rnacentral:rRNA from 1 species
AUUGAACGCUGGCGGCAGGCCUAACACAUGCAAGUCGAGCGGUUCGGCGGACGGGUGAGUAAGACCUAGGAAUAUGCCUGUUAGUGGUGGAUAACGUCCGGCAACGGGCGCUAAUACCGCAUACUAUCAGAUGAGGCUGGGUCGGAGUGGCUAGUUGUUGGGGUAAAGGCCUACCAAGGCGACGAUCCGUAACUGGUCUGAGAGGAUGAUCAGUCACACUGGAACUGAGACACGGUCCAGACUCCUACGGGAGGCAGCAGUGGGGAAUAUUGGACAAUGGGCGAAAGCCUGAUUCAGCCAUGCCGCGUGUGUGAAGAAGGUCUUCGGAUUGUAAAGCACUUUAAGUUGGGAGGCGUUACCAACAGAAUAAGCACCGGCUAACUUCGUGCCAGCAGCCGCGGUAAUUC